rnacentral:rRNA from 1 species
GAUGAACGCUGGCGGCGUGCUUAACACAUGCAAGUCGAACGGAAAGGCCCCAGCUUGCUGGGGUACUCGAGUGGCGAACGGGUGAGUAACACGUGGGUGAUCUGCCCUGCACUUUGGGAUAAGCUUGGGAAACUGGGUCUAAUACCGAAUAUGACCACUUCUCGGAUGUUGUGGUGGAAAGCUUUUGCGGUGUGGGAUGAGCCUGCGGCCUAUCAGCUUGUUGGUGGGGUAAUGGCCUACCAAGGCGGCGACGGGUAUCCGGCCUGAGAGGGUGUACGGACACAUUGGGACUGAGAUACGGCCCAGACUCCUACGGGAGGAAGCAGUGGGGAAUAUUGCACAAUGGGCGCAAGGCUGAUGCAGCGACGCCGCGUGGGGGAUGAAGGCCUUCGGGUUGUAAACUCCUUUCGCUAUCGACGAAGCCACUUGUGGUGACGGUAGGUAGAUAAGAAGCACCGGCUAACUACGUGCCAGCAGCCGCCGUAA